rnacentral:sRNA from 1 species
ACAGAGGAGCCCAGGAGGUCUGCGUGAACCCUGCCCGAGUCACUUACUCUGCCCAGCAGGUUGAUGGUCGCAUUCCAGAUGUAAACAGCUUCAGAAGCCUGACGGUCAUAUGGUAGAAUCACUGUGGACUGAGACCCACCUUUCUAGACCUGAAGCCCAGGAGAAGGAAGAGGAGGCUGGUUGGUACCAUGGGGCAUGAUGCUCUGAAUCCUAGUCUCUCACCUAGUAUGUGAGCAGUCCCUGCAGAUGGCACAUUUGGAGAUCUUGACAAAGCUUCUUCUGUUUCCAAUGGGGAUGUUAAUGCAGGCGAGGGCAGUGAGUUUGCAGACAGUGGGAUUGAAGGGGCCACUACCGACACGGACCUCCUGUCCAGGCGAUCUAAUGCCACCAACUCCAGCUACUCACCUACCACAGGCCGGGCCUUUGUGGGCAGCGACAGCGGCAGCAGCUCCACCGGGGAUGCGGCUCGUCAGGGGGUGUACGAGAACUUCCGGCGGGAGCUGGAGAUGAGCACCACCAACAGCGAGAGCCUGGAGGAGGCCGGCUCGGCGCACAGCGAUGAGCAGAGCAGCGGCACCCUGAGCUCCCCGGGCCAGUCGGACAUCCUACUGACCGCCACGCAGGGCACGGUGCGCAAGGCCGGCGCCCUGGCCGUCAAGAACUUCCUGGUGCACAAGAAGAACAAGAAGGUGGAGUCAGCCACCCGGAGGAAGUGGAAGCACUACUGGGUGUCCCUGAAAGGAUGCACGCUAUUUUUCUACGAGAGCGACGGCAGAUCUGGGAUAGACCACAACAGCAUCCCCAAACACGCCGUCUGGGUGGAGAACAGCAUUGUGCAGGCAGUGCCUGAGCACCCCAAGAAGGACUUUGUCUUCUGCCUCAGCAAUUCCCUGGGUGAUGCCUUCCUUUUUCAGACCACUAGCCAGACGGAGCUUGAAAACUGGAUCACCGCCAUCCACUCUGCCUGCGCCACUGCAGUCGCGAGGCACCACCACAAGGAAGACACGCUCCGACUCCUGAAAUCAGAGAUCAAAAAACUGGAACAGAAGAUUGACAUGGAUGAAAAGAUGAAGAAAAUGGGUGAAAUGCAGCUGUCUUCAGUCACUGACUCAAAGAAAAAGAAAACAAUAUUAGAUCAGAUCUUUGUCUGGGAGCAAAAUCUCGAGCAGUUCCAAAUGGACCUGUUUCGUUUCCGCUGUUAUUUAGCCAGCCUUCAGGGUGGGGAGCUGCCAAACCCCAAAAGGCUUCUUGCUUUUGCAAGUCGACCAACGAAAGUGGCCAUGGGCCGCCUUGGAAUCUUUUCCGUAUCGUCGUUUCAUGCCCUGGUGGCAGCACGCACUGGUGAAACUGGAGUGAGAAGACGUACUCAGGCCAUGUCCAGAUCCGCGAGCAAGCGAAGGAGCAGGUUUUCUUCUCUGUGGGGUCUGGAUACUACCUCCAAAAAGAAGCAGGGACGCCCAAGCAUCAAUCAGGUGUUUGGAGAGGGAACCGAAGCUGUAAAGAAAUCUUUAGAGGGAAUAUUUGAUGACAUUGUUCCAGAUGGCAAGGUAAAAAUAAACGUGUGUUUUCUUUUCUAAAAGUACCGCAAGUGCAUCAACAUAUACAUGGUGCAGUGUUGUCUUGAGCUACUAAAAUUAAGUAAACUCAAUAUUAAAAACUGAAAUGAUCAGUUUUUAAAAGUUAUGUAAUAAGUCAACAAGAGAUGGAAAAUCAUUUUAUAUUUAAAACUGAGUGGUAGAGGGAACAUUCUCCUGCUGACAUAACAUUUCCCAUACUUACCAUUUGAUGUGUGAGUUUCUAACUAGAACGUAAGAGGAAAUUUGGGUUCUGAAUAGCUGAAUAUUUUAUGCCAUUGCCAAUUUCUUUCCAUGUACAACUUCUCUUCCCAAGAGGUGUGUUCUUACUACCCUCCCUCUCCACCCACACAUGCUGUUUUGCUCCCAUUCGUUUCAAAGAACUGUUCUGAUAGUGUGUUCUUUAAAAAAUGAAAAACAACAAAAACUCAUUUGCCUCCCAAGUCAAGUAUUCAGUUAAAGAUUCGACCGGGUGUGGUAACUCAUGCCUGUAAUCCCAGCACUUUGGGAGGCUGAGGCGGGUGGAUCACGAGGUCAGGAGAUCGAGACCGUCCUGGCUAACACGGUGAAACCCUGUCUCUGCUAAAAAUACAAAAAAAAAAAAAAAAAAAAAAAAAAAAUUAGCUGGGCGCCUGUAGUCCCAGCUACUCGGGAGGCUGAGGCAGCAGAAUGGCGUGAACCCAGGAGGCAGAGCUUGCAGUGAGCGGAGAUGGGGCCACUGCACUCCAGCCUGGGCAACAGAGCAAGACUCUGUCUC